ensembl:misc_RNA Metazoa_SRP Metazoan signal recognition particle RNA
GCCAGGUGUGGUGGUGUGCACCUGUAGUCUCAGCUACUUGAGAGGCUGAGGCAGGGGGAUCUCCUGAGUCCAGGUGUUUGAGGCUGCAGUGAGCUAGGAUCACACCACUGUUCUCCAGCCUGGGCUACAAAGAGAGACUCUGUCUCUA